GGUUUCUUGUGUAAUAAAUAAGAAAUCUGGCCUGCCCACUGAACUUGUUUUAAAGGGCCGCAGUAAUUUGACUGUGCAAAGGUAGCAUAAUCAAUAGUCUUUUAAUUUAGGGCUUGCAUGAAUGGUUGGACGAGGUAAAAUCUGUUUUAUUUUAAAAUUGUUGAAUUUAAAUUUUAAGUAAAAAGACUUAAAUAAUGUUAAGGGACGAGAAGACCCUAUAGAAUUUAAUAUAUAAAGUGAUUAAUUAAGUUAAUGGAAAAUUUUAAAUUAUUAUAUAAUAUAUUUAAUUGGGGUGAUAGGAAAAUAAAAUAAACUUUUCUUUAAAUUAAAUGCUAUGUUUAGUAAAAUGAUCCAUGAUAAAUGAUUAAAAGAUUAAAUUACCUUAGGGAUAACAGCAUUAUUCUUUUUGAGAGUUCAUAUUGAAAAAAGAGAUUGUGACCUCGAUGUUGGAUUAAGAUUAUUUUUGGAUGUAGAUGUUCAAUAAAUAGGUCUGUUCGACCUUUAAUAUCUUACA
rnacentral:rRNA from 1 species